AACGAACGCUGGCGGCGUGCCUAACACAUGCAAGUCGAACGAGACCUUCGGGUCUAGUGGCGCACGGGUGCGUAACGCGUGGGAAUCUGCCCUUGGGUUCGGAAUAACAGUUAGAAAUGACUGCUAAUACCGGAUGAUGUCUUCGGACCAAAGAUUUAUCGCCCAGGGAUGAGCCCGCGUAGGAUUAGCUAGUUGGUGGGGUAAAGGCCUACCAAGGCGACGAUCCUUAGCUGGUCUGAGAGGAUGAUCAGCCACAUUGGGACUGAGACACGGCCCAAACUCCUACGGGAGGCAGCAGUGGGGAAUAUUGGACAAUGGGGCGCAAGCCUGAUCCAGCCAUGCCGCGUGAGUGAUGAAGGCCUUAGGGUUGUAAAGCUCUUUUGUCCGGGAAGAUAAUGACUGUACCGGAAGAAUAAGCCCCGGCUAACUUCGUGCCAGCAGCCGCGGUAAU
rnacentral:rRNA from 1 species